rnacentral:rRNA from 1 species
CCUACGGGAGGCAGCAGUGGGGAAUAUUGGGCAAUGGGCGCAAGCCUGACCCAGCAACGCCGCGUGAAGGAAGAAGGCUUUCGGGUUGUAAACUUCUGUUAUCAGGGACGAAGCAAGUGACGGUACCUGACGAAUAAGCCACGGCUAACUACGUGCCAGCAGCCGCGGUAAUACGUAGGUGGCAAGCGUUAUCCGGAUUUACUGGGCGUAAAGGGCGUGUAGGCGGGAGUGCAAGUCAGAUGUGAAAACUAUGGGCUCAACCCAUAGCCUGCAUUUGAAACUGUACUUCUUGAGUGCUGGAGAGGCAAUCGGAAUUCCGAGUGUAGCGGUGAAAUGCGUAGAUAUACGGAGGAACAUCAGAGGCGAAGGCGGAUUGCUGGACAAUAACUGACGCUGAGGCGCGAAAGCGUGGGGAGCAAACAGGAUUAGAUACCCUUGUAGUC